GAAAUGCGAUAAGUAAUGUGAAUUGCAGAAUUCCGUGAAUCAUCGAAUCUUUGAACGCACAUUGCGCCCUCUGGUAUUCCGGGGGGCAUGCCUGUCCGAGCGUCAUUGCGAACCCCUCAAGCACGGCUUGUGUGAUGGGCCCUCCCGCGUCUUGGUCGUCAAGACGGGCCCGAAAUGCAGUGGUGGCUUCGCGGUUAUCCGAUCAGCCAGAGCGUAUGGGGACUUUCUCUCUGUCACACGCCCGCGGCGCGGACCGACGCCUGUCGACCUUCAUUCAUCGUUUUCUCGGUUGACCUCGGAUCAGGUAGGGAUACCCGCUGAACUUAAGC
rnacentral:misc_RNA from 1 species